AGGACGAACGCUGGCGGCGUGCUAAUACAUGCAAGUCGAGCGAGCUACUUCGGUAGCGAGCGGCGCACGGGUGAGUAACGCGUAGAUGAUCUACCCUCGAGACUGAGAUACCUCCGGGAAACUGGAGUUAAUACCAGAUAACGCACAUUUGUUGGUUCAGAUGUGUUAAAGCGGUGCAAGUCGCACUUGAGGAUGAGUCUGCGGCCUAUCAGCUAGUUGGUGGGGUAACGGCCUACCAAGGCGAAGACGGGUAGCUGAUCUGAGAGGAUGAUCAGCCACAUUGGGACUGAGACACGGCCCAAACUCCUACGGGAGGCAGCAGUAGGGAAUAUUGCGCAAUGGGGGGAACCCUGACGCAGCGACGCCGCGUGAGUGAAUGACGGCCAUUUUGGUUGUAAAGCUCUGUAAAGAGGGAAAAAUGUUGCAGUGAAGAGCUGCAAUUGAUGGUACCUCUAAAGUAAGGACCGGCUAAAUACGUGCCAGCCGCUGC
rnacentral:rRNA from 1 species